GCUCCAUUGGCGCAAUUGGUUAGCGCGCGGUACUUAUAAUGCCGAGGUUGUGAGUUCGAGCCUCACAUGGAGCA